rnacentral:rRNA from 1 species
CCUACGGGUGGCAGCAGUGGGGAAUAUUGCACAAUGGGCGAAAGCCUGAUGCAGCAACGCCGCGUGAAGGAAGACGGUUUUCGGAUUGUAAACUUCUGUUCUUAGUGAAGAAUAAUGACGGUAACUAAGGAGCAAGCCACGGCUAACUACGUACCAGCAGCCGAGGUAAUACGUAGGUGGCACGCGUUGUCCGGAAUUACUGGGUGUAAAGGGAGCGUAGGCGGGAAGCUAAGUCAGCUGUGAAAACUACGGGCUUAACCUGUAGACUGCAGUUGAAACUGGCUGUCUUGAGGGAAGUAGAGGUAGGCGGAAUGCGGAGUGUAGCGGGGAAAUGCGUAGAUAUUCGGAGGAACACCGAUGGCGAAGGCGGCCAACUGGGCUUUAACUGACGCUGAGGCACGAAAGUGUGGGGAGCGAACAGGAUUAGAUACCCUUGUAGUC